rnacentral:tRNA from 1 species
GCCUGGCUGACUCAGUAGAGUGGAGGACUCUUGAUCUUGGGGUUGUGGGUUCGAGCCCCACACUGGGUG